GGAGAAGCUUGCUUUUCCGCUGACGACCGGCGCACGGGUGCGUAACGCGUAUACAAUCUGCCUUAUACUGGGGUAUAGCCUUUAGAAAUGAAGAUUAAUCCCCCAUAGUCUCUUAGAGUGGCAUCAUUUUAGGAGUAAAGGUUACGGUAUAAGAUGAGUAUGCGUUCUAUUAGUUUGUUGGUGAGGUAACGGCUCACCAAGGCUACGAUAGAUAGGGGCCCUGAGAGGGGGAUCCCCCACACUGGUACUGAGACACGGACCAGACUCCUACGGGAGGCAGCAGUGAGGAAUAUUGGACAAUGGAGGCAACUCUGAUCCAGCCAUGCCGCGUGCAGGAAGACUGCCCUAUGGGUUGUAAACUGCUUUUAUAUAGGAAGAAACCUACUUACGUGUAAGUAGCUGACGGUACUAUAAGAAUAAGGAUCGGCUAACUCCGUGCCAGCAGCCGCGGUAAU
rnacentral:rRNA from 1 species